AUUGAACGCUGGCGGCAGGCUUAACACAUGCAAGUCGAGCGGGGAAGAGUAGCUUGCUACUUUACCUAGCGGCGGACGGGUGAGUAAUGCUUAGGAAUCUGCCUAUUAGUGGGGGACAACAUCUCGAAAGGGAUGCUAAUACCGCAUACGUCCUACGGGAGAAAGCAGGGGACCUUCGGGCCUUGCGCUAAUAGAUGAGCCUAAGUCGGAUUAGCUAGUUGGUGGGGUAAAGGCCUACCAAGGCGACGAUCUGUAGCGGGUCUGAGAGGAUGAUCCGCCACACUGGGACUGUGACACGGCCCAGAAUCCUACGGGAGGCAGCAGUGGGGAAUAUUGGACAAUGGGGGGAACCCUGAUCCAGCCAUGCCGCGUGUGUGAAGAAGGCCUUUUGGUUGUAAAGCACUUUAAGCGAGGAGGAGGCUACCGAGAUUAAUACUCUUGGAUAGUGGACGUUACUCGCAGAAUAAGCACCGGCUAACUCUGUGCCAGCCGCCGCCGUAAUAC
rnacentral:rRNA from 1 species